AGUCUCUCCUUCAAUUUUUCUUCAAAGAUGUCUUCAUAUAUGUGUUCUUACACUACUACGAAAAACACUCAUCACAAAUGGUUGGAAAAAGGGAUACCAUCAUGCUGAAUCAACUGUUGUGAGGAGGAUGAGAAAGAUGAUGAUGAGGAUGAUGAUAAUAAUCAGUAAAGUUGUUGUUACGCAAAAUCAAAAUCAAAAUGGAGAAACAUAUGUUAUGUUUAGACUGGCUUAUAAUAUGUUUAGAUGUUUAUUGAUAAUAUGUUUAGAUAAUUUAUGAUUGCCUCGUGUCUAAAUUAGCUUAUAAGUAUACUUAUUUUGAUACACCUUGACAUGUUCAAUGGACUA